AUACGGAGGAUGCAAGCGUUAUCCGGAUUUAUUGGGUUUAAAGGGUGCGUAGGCGGUUUGCUAAGCGGGAGGUGAAAUGCCGGCGCUCAACGUCGGAAGUGCCUCCCGAACUGGUGGACUGGAAUGACUCUGCCGUGGGAGGAAUGUGUAGUGGAGCGGUGAAAUGCUUAGAGAUUACACAGAACACCGAUUGCGAAGGCAUCUCACGAAGGGUUGAUUGACGCUGAGGCACGAAAGCGUGGGGAUCAAACAGGAUUAGAUACCCUGGUAGUCCACGCAGUAAACGAUGAUGGCUAACCGCUGGGCUUAUCAGUUCAGUGGCCAAGCGAAAGCGAUAAGCCAUCCACCUGGGGAGUACGACCGCAAGGUUGAAACUCAAAGGAAUUGACGGGG
rnacentral:rRNA from 1 species